rnacentral:tRNA from 1 species
GGGGUUGUGGCUCAGUGGUAGAGCGCUUGCCUCACACGUGUGAGUCCCUGGGUUCGAUCCUCAGCACCA